AGAGAGAGACAUGCGCGCAUAUCAAUAAGCGGAGGAAAAGAAACUAACUAGGAUUCCCUCAGUAACGGCGAGUGAAGCGGGAAGAGCUCAAAUUUGAAAUCUUAAAGGUUUUACCUUGACGAAUUGUAGUUUAAAGAAGUGUUUUCUGUUAGGAAUUUAGGUAAAAGUUCUUUGGAAAUAGGACAUCAUAGAGGGGUGAGAAUCCCGUAUUUGACCAUUAUUUCCAGCUUUGUGAUACACUUUCAAAGAGUCGGAUUGUUUGGGAAUGCAGUCCAAAAUGGGUGGUAAAUUUCAUCUAAAGCUAAAUAUUGGCGAGAGACCGAUAGCGAACAAGUACCGUGAGGGAAAGAUGAAAAGAACUUUGAAAAGAGAGUUAAACAGUACGUGAAAUUGUCAAAAGGGGAGCGUUUGACACCAGUGUUGUUUUCUCGAAAAUCAAUUAAAAAAGGCCGGAUUUGUGUUGUAUUGACCUUAAAAGCUUUCUUCACUCUUUUCUUGUCUUUUUUAAUGCACUUUUCGUUUAACAAGUCAACAUCAGUUUCUUUUGUUGUAAAAGGGUCAUUGGAAGGUGGCUUUCUUUUCGGAGAAAGUGUUUAUAGCCUUUGACUUCUGCAAUCGGAGAGAUUGAGGUCUGCAGCGUAGAUCCUUCGGGGUUAGAUACAUUUGUGCUAAGUUAUAGCCUUUUCAUAGACAACAUUGUUGACUAUGAUCAUCAUGUAGCUUACUCGCUUAUGCUAUUUUACCUACGCUUAGGAUGUUGACAGCAGUAUAGACUGU
rnacentral:rRNA from 1 species